rnacentral:rRNA from 1 species
UGAACGCUGUCGGCGUGCCUAAUACAUGCAAGUCGAGCGAACAGACGAGGAGCUUGCUCCUCUGACGUUAGCGGCGGACGGGUGAGUAACACGUGGAUAACCUACCUAUAAGACUGGGAUAACUUCGGGAAACCGGAGCUAAUACCGGAUAAUAUAUUGAACCGCAUGGUUCAAUAGUGAAAGACGGUUUUGCUGUCACUUAUAGAUGGAUCCGCGCCGCAUUAGCUAGUUGGUAAGGUAACGGCUUACCAAGGCGACGAUGCGUAGCCGACCUGAGAGGGUGAUCGGCCACACUGGAACUGAGACACGGUCCAGACUCCUACGGGAGGCAGCAGUAGGGAAUCUUCCGCAAUGGGCGAAAGCCUGACGGAGCAACGCCGCGUGAGUGAUGAAGGUCUUCGGAUCGUAAAACUCUGUUAUUAGGGAAGAACAAAUGUGUAAGUAACUAUGCACGUCUUGACGGUACCUAAUCAGAAAGCCACGGCUAACUACGUG